AUUGAACGCUGGCGGCAUGCCUAACACAUGCAAGUCGAACGUGUGGCGGACGGGUGAGUAAUGUCUGGGAAACUGCGCGAUGGAGGGGGAUCACUACUGGAAACGGUAGCUAAUACCGCAUACCAUCGGAUGUGCCAAGAUGGGAUUAGCUAGUAGGUGGGGUAAUGGCUCACCUAGUGGACGAUCCCUAGAUGGUCUGAGAGGAUGAACAGCCACCAUGGGACUGAGACACGGCCCAGACUCCUACGGGAGGCAGCAGUGGGGAAUAUUGCACAAUGGGCGCAAGCCUGAUGCAGCCAUGCCGCGUGUAUGAAGAAGGCCUUCGGGUUGUAAAGUACUUUCCGCGAGGAGGCGUUACUCGCAGAAAAAGCAACGGCUAACUCCGUGCCAGCAGCCGCGGUAAUAC
rnacentral:rRNA from 1 species